GUCAAGUGCCAUGAUUCUCUCAUGUGGCUUCAGAAGAGCGGUAUAUACCUGAAAGUUAGCAGGAGACCCAGAUAGAGGCUGCACGUUCACUCCCCACUUGGCAGGAUCCAGACGGAAAGCUUCAAGCGCUCGCUUCUGGCACAAGGAUUCCGCCAUAUCAAUGUAUUCAUUUCCUCCAUAGUAUCUCGCACCGGGAUAUCCCU
rnacentral:misc_RNA from 1 species